AUUGAACGCUGGCGGAAUGCUUUACACAUGCAAGUCGAACGGUAGAGGGGGCAACCCCUCGAGAGUGGCGAACGGGUGAGUAAUAUAUCGGAACGUGCCCAGUCGUGGGGGAUAACGUAGCGAAAGUUACGCUAAUACCGCAUACGAUCUAAGGAUGAAAGCGGGGGAUCGCAAGACCUCGCGCGAUUGGAGCGGCCGAUAUCAGAUUAGGUAGUUGGUGGGGUAAAGGCUCACCAAGCCAACGAUCUGUAGCUGGUCUGAGAGGACGACCAGCCUCACUGGAACUGAGACACGGUCCAGACUCCUACGGGAGGCAGCAGUGGGUAAUUUUGGACAAUGGACGCAAGUCUGAUCCAGCCAUUCCGCGUGCAGGAUGAAGGCCCUCGGGUUGUAAACUGCUUUUGUACGGAACGAAAAGGUCUCUCUUAAUACGGGGGACUCAUGACGGUACCGUAAGAAUAAGCACCGGCUAACUACGUGCCAGCCGCCGCCGUAA
rnacentral:rRNA from 1 species